UGCCAGCCGCCGCGGUAACACGUAGGGAGCAAGCGUUGUCCGGAUUUAUUGGGCGUAAAGAGCUCGUAGGCAGUUCAGUAAGUCAGGUGUGAAAGCUCGGGGCUCAACCCCGGAAGUGCACUUGAAACAGCAAGACUUGAAUACGGUAGAGGAGAGAGGAAUUCCUGGUGUAGAGGUGAAAUUCGUAGAUAUCAGGAGGAACACCGAUGGCGAAGGCAUCUCUCUGGGUCGAUAUUGACGCUGAGGCGCGAAGGCGUGGGUAGCGAACGGGAUUAGAUA
rnacentral:rRNA from 1 species